rnacentral:piRNA from 1 species
UGACAGGUGGACUUCUUUUGUAUAAUGAUGU